rnacentral:rRNA from 1 species
UACGUAGGGGGCAAGCGUUGUCCGGAAUCAUUGGGCGUAAAGAGCGUGUAGGCGGCUCGAUAAGUCUGCUGUGAAAGUCCAGGGCUCAACCCUGGGAUGCCGGUCGAUACUGCCGGACUAGAGUUCGGAAGAGGCGAGUGGAAUUCCUGGUGUAGCGGUGGAAUGCGCAGAUAUCAGGAGGAACACCAAUAGCGAAGGCAGCUCGUUACGCGAAUAUUGACACUGAUGCACGAAAGCGUGGGGAUCAAACAGG